AGUCUGGUGCCAGCAGCCGCGGUAAUUCCAGCUCCAAUAGCGUAUAUUAAAUUUGCUGCAGUUAAAAAGCUCGUAGUUGGAUUUCUGGCGUGGUGCGUCUGGUCGCCUUGCGGGGGCAACUCCGUGGGUAGUACCGGGAAGCGCGCCUGCCAUCAGGCGGGUUCUUUUCGUUCGCAAGAGUGAGAGGAAGAAGCGGGCAGGCCUGGUUCCUCUUCGGAGGGGCAGCGUGGUGGCUCGUGUUUCCGCCCAUUUACUUUGAGCAAAUUAGAGUGUUCCAAGCAGGCUAAAGAAAAAAAAGGCUGUGAAUACAUGAGCAUGGAAUAAUAAGAUAGGACUCGGGUUCUAUUUUGUUGGUUUCCAGGAUCUGAGUAAUGAUUGAUAGGGACAGUUGGGGGUGCUAGAAUUCAACGGCCAGAGGUGAAAUUCUUGGAUUCGUUGAAGACUAACUUAUGCGAAAGCAUUCACCAAGGAUGUCUUCUUUAAUCAAGAGCGAAAGUUGGGGGAUCGAAGACGAUCAGAUACCGUCGUAGUCUCAACUAUAAACGAUGCCAACUAGGGAUAUGUGGACGUUUGUUCGAAGACUCCAUAUGCACCUGACGAGAAAUCCAAGUUUUUGGGUUCUGGGGGGAGUAUGGUCGCAAGGCUGAAACUUAAAGGAAUUGACGGAAGGGCACACCAGGAGUGGAGCCUGCGGCUCAAUUUGACCCAACACGGGGAAACUUACCAGGUCCAGACAAUAAGAGGAUUGACAGAUUGAAGAUCUUUCUUGAUUUAUUGAGUGGUGGUGCAUGGCCGUUCUUAGUUGGUGGAGUGAUUUGUCUGGUUUAUUCCGUUAACGAACGAGACCUCGACUUGUUAACUAGUCCGGCGCAGCCUGCAAGGGUUGCGUUCUUUGGUCAAACGAAGAAAGUGGGCUUCUUAAAGGGACUCUCGGUGCGUAGCCGAUGGAAGUUCGAGGCAAUAACAGGUCUGUGAUGCCCUUAGAUGUUCUGGGCCGCACGCGCGCUACACUGUUGUGUUCACUGAGCUUUUUUUUGUAAGAACCUUGGCCGACAGGCCCGGGGAAUCUGUGAAACCACAACGUGAUGGGGAUAGAUUAUUGCAAUUAUUAAUCUUCAACGAGGAAUUCCUAGUAAACGCGGGUCAUCAGCUCGCAUUGACUACGUCUCCGCCCUUUGUACACACCGCCCGUCGCUACUACCGAUUGAAUGACUUAGUGAGUUGUGCGGAUUGUGUUUG
rnacentral:rRNA from 1 species